UAAGAAUAGAGAGCUUGAUUGAAUA
rnacentral:piRNA from 1 species